rfam:Salmonella enterica subsp. enterica serovar Typhimurium str. LT2, complete genome.
GGUUAAGCGACUAAGCGUACACGGUGGAUGCCCUGGCAGUCAGAGGCGAUGAAGGGCGUGCUAAUCUGCGAUAAGCGCCGGUAAGGUGAUAUGAACCGUUAUAACCGGCGAUACCCGAAUGGGGAAACCCAGUGUGAUUCGUCACACUAUCAUUAACUGAAUCCAUAGGUUAAUGAGGCGAACCGGGGGAACUGAAACAUCUAAGUACCCCGAGGAAAAGAAAUCAACCGAGAUUCCCCCAGUAGCGGCGAGCGAACGGGGAGGAGCCCAGAGCCUGAAUCAGCAUGUGUGUUAGUGGAAGCGUCUGGAAAGGUGCGCGAUACAGGGUGACAGCCCCGUACACAAAAGCGCAUGUGCUGUGAGCUCGAUGAGUAGGGCGGGACACGUGGUAUCCUGUCUGAAUAUGGGGGGACCAUCCUCCAAGGCUAAAUACUCCUGACUGACCGAUAGUGAACCAGUACCGUGAGGGAAAGGCGAAAAGAACCCCGGCGAGGGGAGUGAAAAAGAACCUGAAACCGUGUACGUACAAGCAGUGGGAGCACAGGUUUACCUGUGUGACUGCGUACCUUUUGUAUAAUGGGUCAGCGACUUAUAUUCUGUAGCAAGGUUAACCGUAUAGGGGAGCCGUAGGGAAACCGAGUCUUAACCGGGCGUUAAGUUGCAGGGUAUAGACCCGAAACCCGGUGAUCUAGCCAUGGGCAGGUUGAAGGUUGGGUAACACUAACUGGAGGACCGAACCGACUAAUGUUGAAAAAUUAGCGGAUGACCUGUGGCUGGGGGUGAAAGGCCAAUCAAACCGGGAGAUAGCUGGUUCUCCCCGAAAGCUAUUUAGGUAGCGCCUCGUGAAUUCAUCUCCGGGGGUAGAGCACUGUUUCGGCUAGGGGGCCAUCCCGGCUUACCAACCCGAUGCAAACUGCGAAUACCGGAGAAUGUUAUCACGGGAGACACACGGCGGGUGCUAACGUCCGUCGUGAAGAGGGAAACAACCCAGACCGCCAGCUAAGGUCCCAAAGUCAUGGUUAAGUGGGAAACGAUGUGGGAAGGCCCAGACAGCCAGGAUGUUGGCUUAGAAGCAGCCAUCAUUUAAAGAAAGCGUAAUAGCUCACUGGUCGAGUCGGCCUGCGCGGAAGAUGUAACGGGGCUAAACCAUGCACCGAAGCUGCGGCAGCGAACGUAUCACCCAAGACAACUUUACGGAGUUGACGAUUGACGGAGCGAAGCGACGUCAAAGCGUUCAUUAAAGUCGAGUUGGCUUAGGGAUACGUUCGUUGGGUAGGGGAGCGUUCUGUAAGCCUGUGAAGGUGUGUCGUGAGGCAUGCUGGAGGUAUCAGAAGUGCGAAUGCUGACAUAAGUAACGAUAAAGCGGGUGAAAAGCCCGCUCGCCGGAAGACCAAGGGUUCCUGUCCAACGUUAAUCGGGGCAGGGUGAGUCGACCCCUAAGGCGAGGCCGAAAGGCGUAGUCGAUGGGAAACGGGUUAAUAUUCCCGUACUUGGUGUUACUGCGAAGGGGGGACGGAGAAGGCUAUGUUGGCCGGGCGACGGUUGUCCCGGUUUAAGCGUGUAGGUGUGUGUUCCAGGUAAAUCCGGUUCACUUUAACACUGAGGCGUGACGACGAGGCACUACGGUGCUGAAGCAACAAAUGCCCUGCUUCCAGGAAAAGCCUCUAAGCAUCAGGUAACAUCAAAUCGUACCCCAAACCGACACAGGUGGUCAGGUAGAGAAUACCAAGGCGCUUGAGAGAACUCGGGUGAAGGAACUAGGCAAAAUGGUGCCGUAACUUCGGGAGAAGGCACGCUGACACGUAGGUGAAGUGAUUUACUCAUGGAGCUGAAGUCAGUCGAAGAUACCAGCUGGCUGCAACUGUUUAUUAAAAACACAGCACUGUGCAAACACGAAAGUGGACGUAUACGGUGUGACGCCUGCCCGGUGCCGGAAGGUUAAUUGAUGGGGUCAGCGCAAGCGAAGCUCCUGAUCGAAGCCCCGGUAAACGGCGGCCGUAACUAUAACGGUCCUAAGGUAGCGAAAUUCCUUGUCGGGUAAGUUCCGACCUGCACGAAUGGCGUAAUGAUGGCCAGGCUGUCUCCACCCGAGACUCAGUGAAAUUGAACUCGCUGUGAAGAUGCAGUGUACCCGCGGCAAGACGGAAAGACCCCGUGAACCUUUACUAUAGCUUGACACUGAACAUUGAGCCUUGAUGUGUAGGAUAGGUGGGAGGCUUUGAAGUGUGGACGCCAGUCUGCAUGGAGCCGACCUUGAAAUACCACCCUUUAAUGUUUGAUGUUCUAACGUGGACCCGUAAUCCGGGUUGCGGACAGUGUCUGGUGGGUAGUUUGACUGGGGCGGUCUCCUCCUAAAGAGUAACGGAGGAGCACGAAGGUUGGCUAAUCCUGGUCGGACAUCAGGAGGUUAGUGCAAUGGCAUAAGCCAGCUUGACUGCGAGCGUGACGGCGCGAGCAGGUGCGAAAGCAGGUCAUAGUGAUCCGGUGGUUCUGAAUGGAAGGGCCAUCGCUCAACGGAUAAAAGGUACUCCGGGGAUAACAGGCUGAUACCGCCCAAGAGUUCAUAUCGACGGCGGUGUUUGGCACCUCGAUGUCGGCUCAUCACAUCCUGGGGCUGAAGUAGGUCCCAAGGGUAUGGCUGUUCGCCAUUUAAAGUGGUACGCGAGCUGGGUUUAGAACGUCGUGAGACAGUUCGGUCCCUAUCUGCCGUGGGCGCUGGAGAACUGAGGGGGGCUGCUCCUAGUACGAGAGGACCGGAGUGGACGCAUCACUGGUGUUCGGGUUGUCAUGCCAAUGGCACUGCCCGGUAGCUAAAUGCGGAAGAGAUAAGUGCUGAAAGCAUCUAAGCACGAAACUUGCCCCGAGAUGAGUUCUCCCUGAGACUUAGAGUCUCCUGAAGGAACGUUGAAGACGACGACGUUGAUAGGCCGGGUGUGUAAGCGCAGCGAUGCGUUGAGCUAACCGGUACUAAUGAACCGUGAGGCUUAACCUU